rnacentral:rRNA from 1 species
GACGAACCGUGCGAACGUUAUUCGGAAUCACUGGGCUUAAAGGGCGCGUAGGCGGGUCCGUUAGUCAGGGGUGAAAGCCCACGGCCCAACCGUGGAAGUGCCUCUGAUACUGCGGGCCUCGAGGGGGAUAGGGGCGUGCGGAACUCAGGGUGGAGCGGUGAAAUGCGUAGAUAUCCUGAGGAACACCGGUGGCGAAAGCGGCGCGCUGGAUCCCUUCUGACGCUGAGGCGCGAAAGCCAGGGGAGCAAACGGG